GACUGUAGGGGUGAAAAUCCUUUCCUUCCGCCCUAUUCUCGUAGGAUCUCGUCGCCCUCUUGAACAGAAUCUCGUCACGACUAGCCCCUACCCGAUGCCAUGUAAGGGCUUGUUCGGUUAGGGGUGGAUUGAGGAGGAUUGGAGGGGAUUAAAUUCCCUUCUAUACAAAUUUAAAUAGAAGAUGAUUUAAUCCCCUUCAAUCCCUCUCAAACCCCUUCAAACCGAACAAGCCCUAAGGUGAACCUAUCCUACCUGGUGCCAUACAAUGUGGACGUGACGAGCCCUUGCCUGAUGCUAGCAAUCAAAUUGGUGAUCGAACAACGAUGUCAGAACAGGAGCCAUCAGAACAAUCAGUCCCUGCCGCCAAAGUCUCAGAUCAGCCCAACGUCAAUGAUAUGUUCCCUCCGCCUUUUUUUUGUCACACGACAUCAUCUCCAUAGAGGAAGUAGAUAUUCGCGGGCUUCUGAAUCCUGGUUCUAAGCCUGAUCAACAAAGAGACGACGUCGAGCAAGGUAACUCUUGUGACCUGUAAGGUAUGCGUGCAAUGUUAUGACCUGAUGUGUAUGCCAUGAUUCACUUGGUAAUUAAGCCCAUGUUGGGACACUGAAGAAGAAAAAAGAAAUUAUUCUUAAGAGAGGGAUGCUACGUGAUGAUGUGGAUGCAUCACAAAAAGAUGGACACAUAAUUGCAAAAGAAAAUUUAUUAUUGGAGAAGUCCACUGGUGCCCAUGAAUGAUGUCAUGAGAAGGAAGAUGUCAAGCGCCUAUAACAACUUUGAAGAUAAUUUUAAAAUGGCCAAGACCUCGGAAGACGGCAUGAACCUAUUAAUAAAAAAUUGGAAUCUCUGUCAUUGUUGUUUCAGCCUACAUCUCGCGCCAAAUAGGAGGAGCAAGAGAGUUCUAUUGGGAUGUCCAUUCUGGAGAAUGUACAUGUCCAUCCACCUAGUGAUAUUCGUUCAAAGGGGAAGUGCAAGAAAAUAAUAUGGCAUCUGACAAAAACAAAAAGAAGCAUAGUCCAUGUACAAGCAAAUGCACAAUAUGCAAACAUCUUGGACAGGAUCGACAAAAUUGUUCGAAGAAAGGAUCAGCAACACCAUAAGUUUUUAGUAGCAUCGGUUUAAACUUUUUGUCUUAUAUACAAAUCUGUCAUAUAUUUUCUAUGGAUUUUUAGAUAAAGCGGUUGUUUUUGUAU